GUGUCAGCAGCCGCGGUAAUACGUAGGUGGCAAGCGUUGUCCGGAAUUAUUGGGCGUAAAGGGAGCGCAGGUGGGAAUGUAAGUCAAUCUUAAAAGUGCGGGGCUCAACCCCGUGAUGGGAUAGAAACUACAUUUCUUGAGUGCAGGAGAGGAAAGUGGAAUUCCUAGUGUAGCGGUGAAAUGCGUAGAUAUUAGGAGGAACACCAGUGGCGAAGGCGACUUUCUGGACUGUUACUGACACUGAGGCUCGAAAGCUAGGGGAGCGAACGGGAUUAGAUACCCCCGUAGUCC
rnacentral:rRNA from 1 species